GAUCCUGGCUCAAGAUGAACGCUGGCGGCGUGCUUAACACAUGCAAGUCGAACGAAGCACUUUAUUUGAUUUCUUCGGAAUGAAGAUUAUGUGACUGAGUGGCGGACGGGUGAGUAACGCGUGGGUAACCUGCCUCAUACAGGGGGAUAACAGUUGGAAACGACUGCUAAUACCGCAUAAGCGCACAGGGUCGCAUGACCUGGUGCGAAAAACUCCGGUGGUAUGAGAUGGACCCGCG
rnacentral:rRNA from 1 species